AUAAAAGGAUGUUUUCGGCACUUGUGAUUUUAUGAAGAAUGUGGCCAACGGCUAAAUGUUCAGCUCGGUGACCGAACGAAAACCUUUUUUUUUUUUUUUUUUGCACGACUUAGCCUAUUGUUUUAUAAAAAGCAAACAUGACAUGCGUGUGCUUAUUUUUAUUUAAAUCAAAUGUAAGUCCAUGUCAGUCAACAUAUCAUAUAACACUUGUUUUAGGGUUAGCGUUUGUAAGCAUAAAAAGCCCCAAAAAAAUAUAUGAAGAUACUUUAAUGUGAUUUUAAUGAUCUUUUUAUAAAAUGCAAAGUCGUCAUAUUCAAUUGACUUUCGUUAUUGUACGGUUGAUUAUAUUUGCAUUCACAAAUCGCAAAAAUACAUUGCAUGUUUACAAAAUGUAUUUACUAACUAUUAAUAUUAAAAUCGUAUUUUUGCUUGCAUACAAUGCAGAAUACAUAUACAUUUUUAUAGAUGCGUGCUUUUAUUAAAUGAUAAAUGCUUAAAUCGUGUCCUUAAGUUCUUUGCAUACACAAAAUGCAAAUACAUGCAAUUAUCAUCUAUCGAUUCUAUAAUUUGAUAAAAAUUAUACAAUCAUUUCUAUGGAUACAGAGCGCAAAUUAAAGACACCCUGUGCUUGUUUUCAAUGUAUUACACAAUAACAAUGAUAGAAAGUUAUAUUUUGCAUACACAAAAUGCUGACUUCUUGUGCAAAAAAAAAAAAACCUAACUUUUUUUAAUAACCGUGCAUUGCCAUUGAUUGUAUUCUGCUGUUGCUUAACUUGUACUUCAGGCUCCGCUGAGCGACCUGUUGGCAGCUGUCCACUAAACAAAAUGCAGGCAGAAACCCCAACAAACGAACCGUGAAACUCUCUCAAACCAAACUCAUUCGCUCAACAGUCUUCCAUUUGCCGCAUUUCCAGUGUCGCAAUCUGCAAAGGCGUUCGGGCAAACUUUGCACAAGUUCUGAGCUCGAGACAAAAGCUGGGGCAGAAUUCCUUCUCUCUACAUAUGAAAAAACAUGGAGGCGGGGCAGCGCUUGACUAUCAAGGAAACGAAGCGCAGGUUUUGCUUCUCUGUAAAGAUAAGUCUUUCCUAACCCCUUGGGGUUUUCUUAUUCCUUGCAACACCAAUGGAGAUGUUUGACGGAAUGACGCUUUUAUUGUGUUUCGGAAAAGAAACAGUUGAAGUGAACAGUCUCAGUUCCAUUGAAGACAUAUGGAUGUAAAACGACAUGAGGCUGAGGAGAUAAAAAUUUCCAUUUUGAGUAUAUUUCCUUUAACUCUAUAGAGCCUACUUCAUGAAUGUCUAAGGACCUUUAAUCAUAAGCGCCAUAAACCUUUCUAAAGCAUAUGUAUGCUCUCAUCUGAUUGAUAGUUCAUUAUCUUUUUAAGUUAACUGUUAUUGUAAUUCUAAAGAUCCUCGUUCAUGUUUAGGUGGCAUCACGUCUUUGUGGUUUAAAAUCUGAUGAUAAAGUACGCGUUUAAAUAUAUCAUUGUUUUUUAGAUCAAAUUUGAUACAUCAGAUUUUUGAGAAAUUAAUUUGUACAUCUCUCAGUCAUCAUUGUACUGAAUUGAAUUGUGUUUAUGCCCAUCAAUA